rnacentral:lncRNA from 1 species
UAGGAUGGGGUAGAAUACUGCAUCUGAAAUCUCAAAAGUUCUAAAUUAUUAUAAAAAACUUUAUAUUUUACCAUCUGGUUGUGAUACAUUUCAAUCUACGCGUAUUUCUGGCUCGACAUCAGUUACAACAAAUUGGUAAAAACAUUGUGUUUGUGUUCAAGAACCAGAAAUUGUUACCCCGACCAUUCGUAUUAUGAAAUCCCCGAUGCCUUUCCUAAAGAAUGUACUGAUUAUGUAUUCAUGAGAUAAUGUAUCAAAAGCUUUAACAAAAUCUAUAGUCAUCAGAUCAUACGAAAUACAUUGAUACUGUCCUCGUUGUAAGUCAAGCACUAAAGUCAAGCGAUGAUCUCUUGCUAAUGAACUUGAACCUGAGGAUCGAAAUGUGAACAAUAUUUUAUCCUAUUUGUGUAGUUAUAAAGAAGAAACGGAGUAAUUCUUUAUCUGAGAGGAUGCCAUAGAUGCCCUCGAUAACUUAAAAAAAAAAUCCUUGGUCAGAUGGAGUAAAUGUAAUACUAUAAUGUUUACUUAUACUUAAUCAGUGCAACUCCAUCGGACCAAUUAAAGGGACAUUAAGAAAAAAUAAUCAUCUUGAAUUUAUACAAGAGCAGUUAUUCCUUCAUUCAAAAACUCCAUAUGGUUUGAUAUAUGCACCAUAAAUUUUAGGAAUAUCCGUGCUAUGGCAAACAACAAGUCCGACUUUUUAUCGACAAAUAAUUUCGUCUGGCUAAAUUACUUUAUCAAAAACUCAUCAAAAGACUCACCAGCAUGUUUGUUAUGUAUUGUCUUUUAUAUACUUUUAGCUCAUGACGUAGGGAUUUGUUUUAAAUAGAUAGUAAUGUAACUUUUGUUUUACGA